GAGUCCCUACGGGGCGCAGCAGUGGGGGAUAUUGCACAAUGGGGGAAACCCUGAUGCAGCGACGCCGCGUGGGUGAAGAAGCGUCUCGGCGCGUAAAGCCCUGUCAGCAGGGAAGAAAAUGACGGUACCUGAAGAAGAAGCCCCGGCUAACUACGUGCCAGCAGCCGCGGUAAUACGUAGGGGGCAAGCGUUAUCCGGAUUUACUGGGUGUAAAGGGGGCGCAGACGGCGAUGCAAGCCAGGAGUGAAAGCCCGGGGCCCAACCCCGGCACUGCUCUUGGAACUGCGUGGCUAGAG
rnacentral:rRNA from 1 species